rnacentral:rRNA from 1 species
UACAGAGGUGUCAAACGUUGUCCGGAAUUACUGGGCGUAAAGGGCGCGUAGGCGGCCUUAUAAGUCAGAUGUGAAAGCUCUGGGCUCAACCCAGGAAUUGCAUCUGAUACUGUAAGGCUUGAGUUCGGUAGAGGAGGGCGGAAUUCCAGGUGUAGCGGUGAAAUGCGUAGAUAUCUGGAGGAACACCCGUGGCGAAGGCGGCUCUCUGGUCCGAAACUGACGCUGAGGUGCGAAAGCUAGGGGAGCGAACAGG